rfam:Gossypium arboreum cultivar AKA8401 contig_1280_1, whole genome shotgun sequence.
UGUUAAAAUUUUCAUUCGCUUCUACUAUUAAAAACUAGUGUAACGCUAACAAAUAACCAGACUGUGACAUGUGACAUGCCACGUAUGCCUCGUGCUAACAUAUAAAGAUUAGUUUUUUAAAUGUAGAAAUGGAUGAAAUAUUUAACA